GCAAGUCGAACGAGAAAGGCCCUUCGGGGACGAGUAAAGUGGCGGACGGGUGAGGAACGCGUGGAUAAACUGCCCUUCAGCGGGGGAUAACUAUUCGAAAGGAUAGCUAAUACCGCAUAUGACUACGACUCCUGCGGGUAACGUAGUAAAAGGCUUCGGCCACUGAAGGAUGUGUCCGCGUCCGAUUAGCUUGUUGGUGGGGUAAAGGCCUACCAAGGCUGCGAUCGGUAGCUGGUCUCAGAGGAUGAUC
rnacentral:rRNA from 1 species